rnacentral:rRNA from 1 species
UACGUAGGGCGCAAGCGUUAUCCGGAAUUAUUGGGCGUAAAGAGCUCGUAGGCGGUUUGUCGCGUCUGCCGUGAAAGUCCGAGGCUCAACUUCGGAUCUGCGGUGGGUACGGGCAGACUAGAGUGAUGUAGGGGAGACUGGAAUUCCUGGUGUAGCGGUGAAAUGCGCAGAUAUCAGGAGGAACACCGGUGGCGAAGGCGGUUCUCUGGGCAUUACCUGACGCUGAGGCGCGAAAGCGUGGGGAGCAAACAGG